UUGAGGCAGGUUGGGAAUGCUAUGAUAGCGUCAUUUUUAGAGUUGAAGAAACUGAGGUUCAGAAAGGUGAUGUAACUUGCCCCAGGUUGCCUGAGUAAUUGAUGAGGGAGACUUGGGUUUCCAUGUGAUUCCAUGUGAUUGAUAGCACAAGCUCUGAACCCACAGCGCAGGACUCUCUGCUCACACUGGCUCCGCUAUUCCUUGGCUGUGUGACACUGAGCAAGUCAACACUGCUGCUGAGUCUUGGUUUUUCUCAUCUGUAAGAUAGGGCUGCCUGUCUCUUUUCAGAGUGCCCUUUGUGUCUCGUGGCUCGGGGACUUUUUUCAGGGGUGAGAGUAGGAAGCAGAAGCUAUUUGAAGACAACCCUUCUUCCUGUCCUUUCCUGAGAACCUGAGCGCACCUCCAUCCUGGUUUUCAUGCUGCCAACGUGUCUACUUGCCACUCAUUCCAGGGAAAAGCAGCCAGGCCUCAUUUUAUCCUCAUCUCAGAUCCACAGCAAGAGCAGAUGGGGUGAAGAUCAAACUCUCCACCACAGCCAUUCCCGAGCCCUGUGCUGCUGCCCGCCCUGUGCCCGCAUCAGACAGUUGACUCGCAACAAGCCUGUGAGUGACCUUCUCAGGCCCAUGUUUCUCAGAAGAGGAAGCUGAGCAGGAAAGAAAUGGAGUGAUUUGCAUUAGGCCAUCGAGCUACCAGUGGCAGAGCUGGGAUUCAGACCUGGACGCUGACCCCAGGGCACACUGGAAAAUACUGCUCUUCCCUCCGCUGAGUGGAACUUACACCAAAGCAGACCCCUGGCCUCCUGAGUCCAGUGUGCCCCUAACACUACCUUGUGGUCUCCCCAUCUAUAAAAUGAGAGCGCAGGACUCACCUGGUCAUCUCAAAGGCCUCUGCCAGCCCCUGUCAUUUCCUGGCCCCCAUCUACUGUUGCAGUCCACACCUCGUAAGGCAGGAUAGCCUGGUGGCUGAAGGGUGGGCCGCGAAGCCGGAGUGCCUAGGCUCAAGCCAAUGCUCUCAUUCAAUGCCCGCAUGAUUUCAGGUGGGUCACCUAGCCCCCACCUAUCAAGUGGACAACAGUGAUAGCUCCUACUGCAUACGGCUGUUGUGAGGAUUAAAUAAAUCCAACCACUAAAGGCUCUUAGGGCAGCGCCUGGCACACAG
rnacentral:lncRNA from 1 species